CACUGUAGCGAGGAGGAGACUCGCAGCGGCGUGUCGAGAUGUCGGCGUCCGCAUGUCGCUGGGGAUUCUCCUGGGAAACGGUGAACCCACGGUGGUGGAUGCAGUGUUCGAUUAUCUUCGACAGUGCAACUUAUACGACAAACUCUGAACAAAGGACGUAGAGGCGUUAUGGGUGCUAAGACAUAUCCUACCAAGGCUAUCUCCUAACCAUCGCAAUUUUUCCUCUCCCCAGUCAUUCCUCAUCCCUACCCGGAAACCUGCUUAGUUCCGCUUAGUACCACAACCAUACGCCUACUGCAACUCUGAAGACUACAAGAGGACAUACCAACUUGGAAGUUGGACGCUUGAGCCAAGCUGCUGCGCGCCCUAACUCUUCAACAACAACAACAACA